GGGCGUAAAGAGCUCGUAGGUGGUUUGUCGCGUUGUUCGUGAAAUCUCACGGCUUAACUGUGAGCGUGCGGGCGAUACGGGCAGACUUGAGUACUGCAGGGGAGACUGGAAUUCCUGGUGUAGCGGUGGAAUGCGCAGAUAUCAGGAGGAACACCGGUGGCGAAGGCGGGUCUCUGGGCAGUAACUGACGCUGAGGAGCGAAAGCGUGGGGAGCGAACAGGAUUAGAUACCCUGGUAGUCCACGCCGUAAACGGUGGGUACUAGGUGUGGGUUUCCUUCCUUGGGAUCCGUGCCGUAGCUAACGCAUUAAGUACCCCGCCUGGGGAGUACGGCCGCAAGGCUAAAACUCAAAGAAAUUGACGGGGGCCCGCACAAGCGGCGGAGCAUGUGGAUUAAUUCGAUGCAACGCGAAGAACCUUACCUGGGUUUGACAUGCACAGGACGCCGGCAGAGAUGUCGGUUCCCUUGUGGCCUGUGUGCAGGUGGUGCAUGGCUGUCGUCAGCUCGUGUCGUGAGAUGUUGGGUUAAGUCCCGCAACGAGCGCAACCCUUGUCUCAUGUUGCCAGCGGGUAAUGCCGGGGACUCGUGAGAGACUGCCGGGGUCAACUCGGAGGAAGGUGGGGAUGACGUCAAGUCAUCAUGCCCCUUAUGUCCAGGGCUUCACACAUGCUACAAUGGCCGGUACAAAGGGCUGCGAUGCCGCGAGGUUAAGCGAAUCCUUUUAAAGCCGGUCUCAGUUCGGAUCGGGGUCUGCAACUCGACCCCGUGAAGUCGGAGUCGCUAGUAAUCGCAGAUCAGCAACGCUGCGGU
rnacentral:rRNA from 1 species